GACGAACGCUGGCGGCGUGCCUAACACAUGCAAGUCGUGCGAGAAAGUUCCUUCGGGAGCGAGUAAAGCGGCGCACGGGUGAGUAACACGUAGGUAACCUGCCCCCCAGUCUGGAACAACUAGAGGAAACUCUAGCUAAUGCCGGAUGAGACCACGAUCCCUUCGGGGGUUGCGGCCAAAGAUGGCCUCUACUUGUAAGCUAUCGCUGAGGGAUGGGCCUGCGGGCCAUUAGCUUGUUGGUGAGGUAACGGCUCACCAAGGCUGUGAUGGCUAGCUGGUCUGAGAGGAUGACCAGCCACACUGGGACUGAGACACGGCCCAGACUCCUACGGAGGCAGCAGUGGGGAAUAUUGCGCAAUGGGCGAAAGCCUGACGCAGCGACGCCGCGUGGGUGAUGAAGGCCU
rnacentral:rRNA from 1 species